AUGCGAUAAGUAAUGUGAAUUGCAGAAUUCAGUGAAUCAUCGAAUCUUUGAACGCACCUUGCGCUCCUUGGUAUUCCGAGGAGCAUGCCUGUUUGAGUGUCAUGAUAAUCUCAAGUUAACAUUUUAGUUUAUCUGAAGUGUUGAUUUGGACUUGGAGGUUGUGCUGAUCUUUGUAUUGGCUCCUCUUAAAUGCAUUAGCUGGAUUACUAUCAGUAAUAGUCCAUGGUGUUGUAAUCUCGGCGCUGUGACUUAACUGAAUGACGAUCUGCUUCUAGUAUAAUUGCUUCUGGCAAUAUUUGUACACUUGACCUCAAAUCAGGUAGGACUACCCGCUGAACUUAAGCAUAU
rnacentral:rRNA from 1 species